CACGUAGGGCGCAAGCGUUGUCCGGAAUUAUUGGGCGUAAAGAGCUCGUAGGCGGUCUGUUGCGUCCGCUGUGAAAAACUCGGGGGCUUAACCCCCGAGCCUGCAGUGGAUACGGGCAGACUAGAGGUAGAUAGGGGAGAAUGGAAUUCCCGGUGUAGCGGUGAAAUGCGCAGAUAUCGGGAGGAACACCGGUGGCGAAGGCGGUUCUCUGGGCCUUACCUGACGC
rnacentral:rRNA from 1 species